UAUUGCACAAUGGGGGAAACCCUGAUGCAGCGACGCCGCGUGAGUGAAGAAGUAUUUCGGUACGUAAAGCUCUAGCAGCAGGGAAGAAAAAAAGUCCUUUUGACUUUGGACGGUACAUGACUAAGAUGCCCCGGCUAACUACGUGCCAGCAGCCGCGGUAAUACGUAGGGGGCAAGCGUUAUCCGGAUUUACUGGGUGUAAAGGGUGCGUAGGUGGCAGGGCAAGUCAGAUGUGAAAGCCCGGGGCUCAACCCCGGUACUGGAUUUGAAACUGUCCAGCUGGAGUGCAGGAGAGGUAAGCGGAAUUCCUAGUGUAGCGGUGAAAUGCGUAGAUAUUAGGAGGAACACCAGUGGCGAAGGCGGCUUACUGGACUGUAACUGACACUGAGGCACGAAAGCGUGGGGAGCA
rnacentral:rRNA from 1 species